UCGAUACGGACAAGAAAUAAAAUAUCUUUUAGGCAAUAAUAUUAGUAGGUUUUGCUAAGAUUGGUACAUGGACACGAUUAUUUAUAAAACAAAUAUUUGAUUUCACGAAAAAUAAAUAAAUAACAACAGGACUAAAUUGUAAUUUUGUAGGUCCAGUAUUUGGUGUCACAGGGUGGUCACAGCCCUUCAAACUGUAUAGGAAGGAUAAUGAAAAAGUGUGGCACUAAUCAGUUAUGGGCCAAAUACAGUCUGAAGGGGCAAAAGGGAAAAGAGGCAUUCACAGGUCACCCUUUGUGCAGGAUAAUCAUGAAAAGUUGUGCAAGAGUGUUCUUAAAUCCAAGGUUUCCGAUAUGGAGGGAGUCUUAAUUGACUUCAUAAAACAGGCCCCACACAAGCCAGGAGGACCAAAAUAUAAGAAACCUGUAAGAAAAGGACAGACGAUUGCGCAAGAAGAAUUGGAGUCUGAACAAAUAAAUCUGUUUAAAAGUA